rnacentral:rRNA from 1 species
NUUGACCUCAACUCAGUCGUGAUUACCCGCUGAAUUUAAGCAUAUAACUAAGCGGAGGAAAAGAAACUAACGAGGAUUUCCCUAGUAACGGCGAGUGAAAAGGAAAAAGCCCGACGCUGAAUCCAAUAGAUAUUUAUGGCUAUAUGGAAAUGUAGCGUAUAGGUAUAACUAUCCGUAACAUAUUUUUACACCCAAAGUCCCCUUGAGCGGGGCUUCAGUCCAUAGAAGGUGCUAGACCUGUACGGGUGAAAAAAGUUACGGUAGGUUAUUCCUUGGAGUCGGGUUGUUUGAGAUUGCAGCCUAAAGAGGGUGGUAAACCUCAUCUAAGGCUAAAUACGACCAUGAGACCGAUAGCAAACAAGU